rnacentral:rRNA from 1 species
GACGAACGCUGGCGGCGUGCCUAAUACAUGCAAGUCGGACGCAGUUGCGAACGGGUGAUUAACGCGUAGGUAACUACCUAUUAGAGGGGGAUAACUACUGGAGACGAUAGCUAAUAACGCCUACUAGUAGAUGGACCUGCGUUGGAUUAGCUAGUAGGUAGGGUAAUGGCCUACCUAGGCAACGAUCCAUAGCUGACCUGAGAGGGGGAACGGCAACACGUGAACUGAGACACGGCCCAGACUCCUACGGGAGGCAGCAGUGGGGAAUAUUCUACAAUGGGGGAAACCUGAAGGAGCAACGCCGGGGGAGUGGAGGAGGGUUUCAGAUCGGUAAACUCUGUUGUUAAGGAAGCGGUACUUGAACAGAAAGGGACGGCUAACUCCGUGCCAGCAGCCGCGGUAAUUC